CACGUGAGUUGGAAUCUGAAAGAAGGCGGCGGCAAACAUCUGGCCUAACGAACAGGAACUUCAUAUAAAGGCAUAUGGCCGUGGGUAAGGUUGCCAAACAAACCAAAGCCCAAUAGCUAUUCGGAACGGUCGGUGUAAAUGAAGUAGGUAUAAGAUGGAAAGACA
rnacentral:ncRNA from 1 species